GUAAGUCUGCGAAGGUGUAUCGAGAGGUAUGCUGGAGAUAUCAGAAGUGCGAAUGCUGACGUAAGUAACGAUAAAGGGGGUGAAAAGCCUCCUCGCCGGAAGACCAAGGGUUCCUGUCCAACGUUAAUCGGGGCAGGGUGAGUCGACCCCUAAGGCGAGGCCGAAAGGCGUAGUCGAUGGGAAGCAGGUUAAUAUUCCUGCACGACUUGUAAUUGCGAUGGGGGGACGGAGAAGGCUAGGUGGGCCAGGCGACGGUUGUCCUGGUGAAAGUGCGUAGGUGGUGUUUCCAGGCAAAUCCGGAGACACAACACUGAGACACGAGACGAACACACUACGGUGUGGAAGCCAUUGAUGCCCUGCUUCCAGGAAAAGCCUCUAAGCUUCAGAUUACAAGUCAUCGUACCCCAAACCGACACAGGUGGUCGGGUAGAGAAUACCAAGGCGCUUGAGAGAACUCGGGUGAAGGAACUAGGCAAAAUAGAACCGUAACUUCGGGAGAAGGUUCGCUCUUGAUGGUGAAGUCCCUUGCGGAUGGAGCUGUCGGGAGUCGCAGUGACCAGAUGGCUGGGACUGUUUAUCAAAAACACAGCACUCUGCAAACACGAAAGUGGACGUAUAGGGUGUGACACCUGCCCGGUGCCGGAAGGUUAAUUGAUGGGGUUAGCGCAAGCGAAGCUCUUGAUCGAAGCCCCGGUAAACGGCGGCCGUAACUAUAACGGUCCUAAGGUAGCGAAAUUCCUUGUCGGGUAAGUUCCGACCUGCACGAAUGGUGUAACCAUGGCCAUGCUGUCUCCACCCGAGACUCAGUGAAAUCGAAUUCGCCGUGAAGAUGCGGUGUACCCGCGGCUAGACGGAAAGACCCCGUGAACCUUUACUACAGCUUGGCACUGAACAUUGAACCUACAUGUGUAGGAUAGGUGGGAGGCUUUGAAGGCGUGACGCCAGUUGCGCUGGAGCCGUCCUUGAAAUACCACCCUUGUAUGUUUGAUGUUCUAACGCAGGGCCCUGAAUCGGGCUCGCGGACAGUGCCUGGUGGGUAGUUUGACUGGGGCGGUCUCCUCCCAAAGAGUAACGGAGGAGCACGAAGGUUGGCUAAUCCUGGUCGGACAUCAGGAGGUUAGUGCAAUGGCAUAAGCCAGCUUAACUGCGAGACGGACAGGUCGAGCAGGUACGAAAGUAGGUCAUAGUGAUCCGGUGGUUCUGAAUGGAAGGGCCAUCGCUCAACGGAUAAAAGGUACUCCGGGGAUAACAGGCUGAUACCGCCCAAGAGUUCAUAUCGACGGCGGUGUUUGGCACCUCGAUGUCGGCUCAUCACAUCCUGGGGCUGAAGUCGGUCCCAAGGGUAUGGCUGUUCGCCAUUUAAAGUGGUACGCGAGCUGGGUUCAGAACGUCGUGAGACAGUUCGGUCCCUAUCUGCCGUGGGCGUUGGAUGAUUGAAGGGAGUUGCUCCUAGUACGAGAGGACCGGAGUGAACGAACCUCUGGUGUUCGGGUUGUCACGCCAGUGGCACUGCCCGGUAGCUAAGUUCGGAAUCGAUAACCGCUGAAAGCAUCUAAGCGGGAAGCGAGCCCUGAGAUGAGUCAUCCCUGACCCCUUGAGGGUCCUAAAGGGCCGUU
rnacentral:rRNA from 1 species